CCCCUGCACGGUCACAAUCCCCUUUAGGAAAUUCAUUUCGGGUCCGUUUGGCAGAGAGUCCAUGAGCAGAGCUAAACAUCUCAGAAAACACAGCUUUGUUACACCUUCCAGGUCUCCAAAGGAAAACUCGUGGCUUCCAAGGCCACCAGGAAGAGAAAAAUCUUCCUUCUGCUGUUUGCACCCUUGGGAUAUUGGUAAAGAAGGAAUCUGUUUUCUGAGCACAGAAAUCUUUUGAAUUCUUGCAUCACCUCCAACUCGAGCAGAACCGAUUCAGGACAGGAAUGACAGAAGUUGGAAGAGAAGCAGAAAACAGGUCAGAUGCAGGACCAAGCUAUUGAGAGCAUCACUCAGAUACCCUCCUUCCGACCCAGCUCCCUUUGGGGAGAAGACAAGGAUAGAGUGGGGGAGCACCAGCAGGGCUGCUGGGUGGUGAGGUGGAAGGUGAGUGAGUCACACCUGGCCUCCAAAGAAAAUCUACAUCCAUCAAAUGGCCUUCCCUCUGGGAGUCAGAAAAUGACCUUCAAAAUAGCCUCUGCAAUCAAGCUGCCUGGGUGGAGUAUCCCCCACCCACUCCAGGAAGUUCCCUCCAGAGCUAUUCAUGAGGCUGGAGCUGUGCAAACAAUUAGUCUCCCACUUGCCCCCAAACCCUCCCAGACCCAGGCAACGUGUCCAGGUGGGACCAUCAGGCCACGUCUGGGUAAGCGGCUCAGGCAUGACCAUAGAAAUGGGAGGCUUUAUUUAUUUUAUUGAAUAGAUGAAAACAACAGACGGCUGUUCUUUAGACAAUAGGAUCACGUCAUCCCAGCCCUCCACGUCCAGGUGACAAGCCCAGCUCCCACUUCUCUUUCCUGGGCCUCCCCGCCUCUGUGUUCUGGAGGAGGUGAGUCCAGCGGGCUGCCCUUGGCCAGGGCCUGUGAUGCUGAGAAUGUGUCACUGAGAAGCCGCCCUUGCAGAUGUUUCCUGGGCUGAGCCUGAGCGAGGCUGAGAGCACAGGUUUUGGCAGCAGGAGGCAAUGGGAGGCAGCCCUGAACUCUGAGUCCUGAUGGCCUUCACUAAAAAUGUGGGCCAGGUGCAGGGGAGAUAAAAAUGCCCUGCAGCAAAUGAUCCUACAAAGUUGCCGUUGUUUUAUUUAAUACAAGGACUUAGAGACUGAAAAAAAAAUAAUCGUCUUUAGGGUUGACCAUGGACUGGACCUUUUAUUUAUUUUGCCAUGUAUUUUUUUCAGGUAGAUGCUUCCUGUCUGACCACACCCAUCUUCUCUCUGAACAUAUUUAAUGAGAACUGCUGUGUCCCACAUUCUCCAAAGAAAAGCUCUACAUUUGAGAGAUGAAACAGAUAAUUUAAAUAAUUAUCUGCUGUCAUUCGUUUGCAGUUAGUGACCAGGGGUAAAUUUUCAUACUUUUAAUUUGCUUUCUGCUUUCUCUAAUCUGAUGAUUUCUGGGGACCUCACCAUUUUGAAGACUGGCCCUGAGAUCUGGAGGAAAAUAAAAUAGGAAACACCCUCCCUUCGUGCCCAUCGUUCAGGAUCCAAGCGCCUGUUCUAUCUUCUUCAGGAAGCUUCCUCCAAUUACUUCAGUUUACACAGAACUCAUUGUCCUCCGAAUUUCAACAACAUGGAUCAUUAGUGGUAGAGACUGCUAACACCCACCGUGUGCCCACUCUGAGAGAGAGAUGGGUAAGUGUGAGGAAUCAUCUGAACUGCUUGGCCUGGUUUAUGGAUUAAAGAGGGUGGAUUCCACAUUAGGGCUCCAGCCAGCUUUCCCAAAUCAAAGAAAAUUAAGCAGGAAGAUUGUGUGUACAUUUGAGAUUGGUGGGUAUUCAGCCUUGGCCAAGAUCAUGCUCUGAGCAACACACUGUUCCAGUCACGGAAUUUCCAUCUUAAUUUUCAGACCCAAAGUGAGAUGAACAGCCUUAACUCAGAUCACCCAGCAAUUGGGGAGCAAUGGCAAAAAAUAAAAUUCAUACUCUGUCCCAGGAAGACAAAAUAUGAGAAAAUGGAAGAACAUCACCUCAUUAUCCUCAGCUCCAGGAAGCUAGAUUAAAAGUUUAGAAGUCA